rnacentral:rRNA from 2 species
AAACUUUCAACAACGGAUCUCUUGGUUCUGGCAUCGAUGAAGAACGCAGCGAAAUGCGAUAAGUAAUGUGAAUUGCAGAAUUCAGUGAAUCAUUGAAUCUUUGAACGCACAUUGCGCCCCUUGGUAUUCCGAGGGGCAUGCCUGUUCGAGCGUCAUUU